rnacentral:rRNA from 1 species
CCUACGGGUGGCAGCAGUGGGGAAUAUUGCACAAUGGGGGGAACCCUGAUGCAGCGACGCCGCGUGAGUGAAGAAGUAUUUCGGUAUGUAAAGCUCUAUCAGCAGGGAAGAAAAUGACGGUACCUGACUAAGAAGCCCCGGCUAACUACGUGCCAGCAGCCGCGGUAAUACGGAGGGGGCAAGCGUUAUCCGGAUUUACUGGGUGUAAAGGGAGCGCAGGCGGCUGUGCAAGUCUGGAGUGAAAGGCGGGGGCCCAACCCCCGGACUGCUCUGGAAACUGGAAAGCUAGAGUGCAGGAGAGGUAAGCAGAAUUCCUGGUGUAGCGGUGAAAUGCGUAGAUAUUAGGAGGAACACCAGUGGCGAAGGCGGCCUGCUGGACUGUAACUGACGUUGAGGCUCGAAAGCGUGGGGAGCAAACAGGAUUAGAUACCCGUGUAGUC